GGCAAGAUCUUGCAAGAUCUUGCCAUUAUCAUGGCAAGAUCUUGCAGGAUUUGUACCAAGAUAAUGGCAAGAUCUUACAUAAAUCCUGCAAGAUCAUGGAAAGAUCUUGCAAGAUCAUGCAAGAUCUUUCCAUGAUCUUGCAGGAUUUAUGUAAGAUCUUGGCAUGAUAUUGGUAAGAUCUUGGGUAAGAUCUUGUCAAGAUCUUGCUGGGAUCUUGGCAAGAUUGUC